GAUGAACGCUGGCGGCGUGCCUAAUACAUGCAAGUCGAGCGAACAGACGAGGAGCUUGCUCCUCUGACGUUAGCGGCGGACGGGUGAGUAACACGUGGAUAACCUACCUAUAAGACUGGGAUAACUUCGGGAAACCGGAGCUAAUACCGGAUAAUAUAUUGAACCGCAUGGUUCAAUAGUGAAAGACGGUUUUGCUGUCACUUAUAGAUGGAUCCGCGCCGCAUUAGCUAGUUGGUAAGGUAACGGCUUACCAAGGCAACGAUGCGUAGCCGACCUGAGAGCGUGAUCGGCCACACUGGAACUGAGACACGGUCCAGACUCCUACGGGAGGCAGCAGUAGGGAAUCUCCCGCAAUGGGCGAAAGCCUGACGGAGCAACGCCGCGUGAGUGAUGAAGGUCUUCGGAUCGUAAAACUCUGUUAUUAGGGAAGAACAAAUGUGUAAGUAACUAUGCACGUCUUGACGGUACCUAAUCAGAAAGCCACGGCUAACUACGUG
rnacentral:rRNA from 1 species